UACGUAGGGGGCAAGCGUUGUCCGGAUUUAUUGGGCGUAAAGAGCGUGUAGGCGGCCUGGUAGGUCAGCUGUGAAAACUCGAGGCUCAACCUCGAGACGUCGGUUGAAACCACCUGGCUAGAGUCCGGAAGAGGAGAGUGGAAUUCCCGGUGUAGCGGUGAAAUGCGCAGAUAUCGGGAAGAACACCCGUGGCGAAGGCAGUUCUCUGGGACGGUACUGACGCUGAGACGCGAAAGCGUGGGGAGCGAACAGG
rnacentral:rRNA from 1 species